rnacentral:rRNA from 1 species
ACGCACGCUGGCGGCGUGCCUAAUACAUGCAAGUAGAACGCACAGUUUAUACCGUAGCUUGCUACACCAUAGACUGUGAGUUGCGAACGGGUGAGUAACGCGUAGGUAACCUGCCUGGUAGCGGGGGAUAACUAUUGGUAACGAUAGCUAAUACCGCAUAAUAUUAAUUAUUGCAUGAUAAUUAAUUGAAAGGUGCAAUUUCACCACUACCAGAUGGACCUGCGUUGUAUUAGCUAGUAGGUGAGGUAACGGCUCACCUAGGCGACGAUACAUAGACGACCGGAGAGGGGGAUAGGCGACACUGGGGCGGGGACACGGACCAGACGACUACGGGAGGCAGCAGUAGGGAAUCUGAGGCAAUGGAGGAGAGUCUGACAGAGCAAGGCGGAGCGAGUGAAGAAGGUUUUCGGAGCGGAAAGAUCUGUUGUAAGAGAAGAACGGGUGUGAGAGUGGAAAGUGCACACUGUGACGGUAUCUGACCAGAAAGAGACGGCUAACUACGUG